AAAUACCGCAUGACAUAUCGGAACCACAUGGUUCUGAUAUCAAAGAUUUUAUCGCUUGAAGAUGGACUCGCGUCCGAUUAGUUAGUUGGUGAGGUAACGGCUCACCAAGACCGCGAUCGGUAGCCGGACUGAGAGGUCGAACGGCCACAUUGGGACUGAGACACGGCCCAGACUCCUACGGGAGGCAGCAGUGGGGGAUAUUGCGCAAUGGGGGCAACCCUGACGCAGCAACGCCGCGUGAAGGAUGAAGGUUUUCGGAUUGUAAACUUCUUUUAUUAAGGACGAAAAAUGACGGUACUUAAUGAAUAAGCUCCGGCUAACUACGUGCCAGCAGCCGCGGUAAUACGUAGGGAGCAAGCGUUGUCCGGAUUUACUGGGUGUAAAGGGUGCGUAGGCGGCUUUGCAAGUCAGAUGUGAAAUCUAUGGGCUCAACCCAUAAACUGCAUUUGAAACUGUAGAGCUUGAGUGAAGUAGAGGCAGGCGGAAUUCCCCGUGUAGCGGUGAAAUGCGUAGAGAUGGGGAGGAACACCAGUGGCGAAGGCGGCCUGCUGGGCUUUAACUGACGCUGAGGCACGAAAGCGUGGGUAGCAAACAGGAUUAGAUACCCUGGUAGUCCACGCUGUAAACGAUGAUUACUAGGUGUGGGGGGUCUGACCCCUUCC
rnacentral:rRNA from 1 species